rnacentral:misc_RNA from 1 species
GAUGAAGAACGUAGCGAAAUGCGAUAAGUAAUGUGAAUUGCAGAAUUCGGUGAAUCAUCGAAUCUUUGAACGCACAUUGCGCCCGCCAGUAUUCUGGCGGGCAUGCCUGUUCGAGCGUCAUUACAACCCUCAGGCCCCCGGGCCUGGCGUUGGGGAUCGGCGAGGCGCCCCCCGCGGGCACGCGCCGUCCCCCAAAUACAGUGGCGGUCCCGCCGCAGCUUCCAUUGCGUAGUAGCUAACACCUCGCAACUGGAGAGCGGCGCGGCCAUGCCGUAAAACACCCAACUUCUGAAUGUUGACCUCGAAUCAGGUAGGAAUACCCGCUGAACUUAAGCAUAUCAAUAAGCGGAGGA